GUUUUGAUAGUUUAUAAAAAAUUUUAUAUUGUGGUUAUAAGGAAGAGUUAUUCUCAAAACA
rnacentral:tRNA from 1 species